AACCACUGUAACUUCAGUUGCUGAAGGUUGUUGAGUAGCUCCAGAUCAGAAAAAAUGAACCAGUGUCACUCCGGAGCUCUCAGUGUGCUGCGUGUGGACUGAAAGACAUCAACAGCCCACAUGUGGGAAGGCCAGCUUCUCUUCCCUUCUUGCCAGCAUGCCUCACUCCUCCAUUUAGUCACUGGACUUGCAGGUGUGUUGAGUGAAAUCAACUCAUAUUAACUGUAUGUGUCAACUACUUCUGAAGAAAGACUGUUAAAAAGAAGGAGUUGGAUUGAAAAGUAGAACAGCUGAAAUUCAACUCAUUGUCAUGGCAAUCAAUUUUUGCUCAGCUUCCUGUGUUCUCUGUGCUCUGAAAGAAGCCGUGUCUGCAAGGUGUGACUCCGUUUUCUCAUCUGAGAGAUGAAGACACUAAUCUUUCUGCUCUCCCAGGUGAAGUUGGAUGCUAACCUCAUUGGAUUCUAUGAAAGCCAUAGGUAAUUUGGAGAUGAGAGCAACAGAAAGCUCUAUAAAUAAGAUAAAAUAAACUUCUUGAAGGAAGCA
rnacentral:lncRNA from 1 species